CAUCCCUAGCGCUCUGUGUAGGUGGUGACGUGGGAGGGGGUGAAAUGCAACCUUUAUUUUCCUAACUGCCUGUCAUCCAAUUCCCCGUUUCCCUCUGACUUGCAUGAGUGAUGAGGUCAUCCCGGCGCAGAAAAAUCCAACUCCUAUUUUUCAGACCCAAUAAAGGCCGGCAUUGUGUGUCUGCGUAAACACAGGCCAGACGGGCAGGGCGGCGGGGACACGAGUGGCCCGCCCUCUGGCGGUCGCAGGAGACGAUGGUGCCCCGAGCUCCACCGCCCCGAACAACGGCAGGGAGGCGGAGAGGGUGCGUGCUAAAAUGUAUCCUUUUCCACUUAUUAUAAAAUCUUUGAGUUGGAAGAAAAUUUAGAGGACAUUUGUUCAAAUCUACCACUUAAGAUGGGCACUUCUGGAUUCAAACUGGUGUUCCAGGCUGGCCCUCUGCAGAGUAGAGAGGCAAGGGGGACGCUCAGGCACUCUCAGUCCAACAGGAGAGUCCUCGCAGCCCCAGGAGCCGGUAGCCCAGGUGCAGCACCGGGCAGAAACGUCCAGAUGGAAGCUUGGCCGUGUUCAGUGACAGGCAUUCCAGGAUUUAAGAAAAAGUACAUCUGGCAUUUCCAGACGAACGGGCUAGUCUUUCCAUUCAGCCAACCUGACUGCAGAAACGAAAGCAGGAAAAAUCUGAUUGAAAAAAUGGCUGAUUCUGUACAAAAUACAGUAGAAUGAUGAGGUGCUCCUCCAGGGCAAAUGUGAGAUGUUUCUUCAUCGCUCACCUUAAUCCCUCGUGCGGCGGCACGGUAUCCUCAGAAGAUAGAUGCUAAGAACACGGUCUUGACUCCUGCCUUUGCUUCUCCAAUUGACAGUUGGUAAAGCAUGGGUUCAUGAGGAACAAAUCUUCCAGAGGGGAACUGCAUAUUUCAAGCAGUCUGACUCUGACACGCCUGGAUUCCAGGAACUUUUGUGGAGUGGGUUUAUUGUCUCAGUCUUUGUGCUGACUGGAUGUGGGUGACGGUGGGCCUGCAGGAUGGGUAAGAAACACAAUCAGCUUUUCAGAAAUGUCUACCCCUGGAAAGCUUCACAGAGGAGCUUCUCCUCUUUGGCCUCCUUUCUGAACAGUUUCUGUGGUAGAGCUUGAGGCAAAAGCAGCUCUGGGCAAAACUGGGACACAGGAGAAUUUCUCACUGACAUUUUCCCACCUCUUCCAUCUGGUCCUUCCUUCCUACUUCCAGCCUCCUCCACUCUUCCGAUGCCAUCCACAGGCACAAGGUGAGUCUAUUUGUAGGAGAGGGAGGGAGUGGGAACACUCACUUAGGUAUUACACGGAUUUGUAUUUAUUUUCUGUAGGGAUGACAACUUGGCCAUUUCUUUUAGUUGUCACAGAGCAAAUAGAACCAUGAUUUAUGUUUUAUCAUUUAUAUAACUGAUUGCAUGUACUUCUAAAAUUUGUAUCAGAUUUCUGACGGUUGUGAAUCAUUUUCCCUAUCUGGAAAGAUGAAGGAGCAGGUCCCCCCCUCUUCUGCCCAGCAGCAGUCACCUUGGAGUUUAGAGUUCCACAUUGUUUUUCAACAACAGUCUUGAAAUAAAAUUCUUGGCCCAAGAAGAAGCA
rnacentral:lncRNA from 1 species